AAAAAAUGUCAUGGUAAUGUAUGACAUCAAAAAUGGUCAAAAAAUGACCUGGUACAGUAAGGCGUGAAAAAUGGUCAAAAAAUGUCAUAGUUUUGUAAGGUGUCAAAAAUGGUCAAAAAAUGUCAUCCUAUUGUGUGGUGUCAGAAAUGGUCAAAAAAUGUUGCGGUACAAUAAGGUGUCAAAAAUGGUCAAAAAAUGUCAUAGUAAUGUUGGGCGUGAAAAAUGGUCAAAAAAUUUCAUGGUAAUGUAUGGCAUCAAAAAUGGUCAAAAAAUGUUGCGGUACAAUAAGGGGUCAAAAAUGGUCAAAAAAUGUCGUAGUACAAUAAGGUGACAGAAAUGGUCAAAAAAUGUCAUAGUUUUGUAAGGUGUCAAAAAUGGUCAAAAAUUGUCAUAGUUUUGUAAGGUGUCAAAAAUGGUCAAAAAAUGUUGCAGUACAAUAAGGUGUCAAAAAUGGUCAAAAAAUGUCGUAGUACAAUAAGGUGACAGAAAUGGUCAAAAAAUGUCAUAGUUUUGUAAGGUGUCAAAAAUGGUCAAAAAAUGUUGCGGUACAAUAAGGUGUCAAAAAUGGUCAAAAAAUGUCGUAGUACAAUAAGGUGACAGAAAUGGUCAAAAAAUGUCAUAGUUUUGUAAGGUGUCAAAAAUGGUCAAAAAAUUUCAUGGUAAUGUAUGGCAUCAAAAAUGGUCAAAAAAUGUUGC